UACGUAGGGAGCAAGCGUUGUCCGGAUUUAUUGGGCGUAAAGAGCUCGUAGGCGGUUCCGUAAGCCAGGGGUCAAACCUCCAGGCUCAACCUGGAGACGCCACCUGAUACUGCGGUGACUGGAGUCCGGUAGGGGAGCGUGGAAUUCCUGGUGUAGCGGUGAAAUGCGCAGAUAUCAGGAGGAACACCAGCGGCGAAGGCGGCGCUCUGGGCCGGUACUGACGCUGAGGAGCGAAAGCGUGGGUAGCAAACAGG
rnacentral:rRNA from 1 species